CAAUAGCGUAUACUAAUGUUGUUGUAGUUAAAAAGCUCGUAGUUGAACUUCUGGUAGGAGUGUCCCGGCCUUUUUGUUUUUACAAAUUGUAUGCUGUGUGACAUCUCUGGCCAUCCUUCUUCUUUGUUUAAAGAAGAUCUUUCACUGUAAAAAAAUUAGGGUGUUCAAAGCAAAAGUUUCUUUGGAAUAUAUUAGUAUGGGAUGAUAAGAUAGGCUCUAGAUGCUAUUUUGUUGGUUUGCACAUUUAGAGAAUGAUUAACAGGGACAGUUGGGGGUAUUCGUAUUUACAUGUCAGAGGUGAAAUUCUUGGAUUUUGGAAAGACGAACUACUGCGAAAGCAUUUACCAAGGAUGUUUUCAUUAA
rnacentral:rRNA from 1 species